AUUGAACGCUGGCGGCAGGCCUAACACAUGCAAGUCGAGCGAGCGGCGGACGGGUGAGUAAUGCCUGGGAAACUGCCCGAUGGAGGGGGAUAACUACUGGAAACGGUAGCUAAUACCGCAUACCAUCAGAUCUGCCCAGAUUGGAUUAGCUAGUUGGUGGGGUAACGGCUCACCUAGGCGGCGAUCCCUAGCUGGUCUGAGAGGAGGACCAGCCACACUGGAACUGAGACACGGUCCAGACUCCUACGGGAGGCAGCAGUGGGGAAUAUUGGACAAUGGGCGCAAGCCUGAUGCAGACAUGCCGCGUGUUUGAAGAAGGCCUUCGGGUUGUAAAGCACUUUCGGCGGGGAGGCGUUACCCGCAGAAGAAGCACCGGCUAACUCCGUGCCAGCCGCCGCGGUAAUUC
rnacentral:rRNA from 1 species